GUCCCUUUGGGCACAUUUGAUAAAAUUAGAUCGAUAAGAUUAGCAUGGCGCCUACCCAAGGAUAAUACGCACAAAUUGAGAAAUGAUCUAAUUUUUA
rnacentral:snRNA from 1 species